AAGUCUAACCUGCCCAAUGAGGAGUUUAAUGGCCGCAGUAUUUUGACUGUGCAAAGGUAGCAUAAUCAUUAGUUUCUUAAUUAGGAACUGGAAUGAAGGGUUGAACGAAAAAAAAUCUGUCUCUUUUUAAAUUAUUUAGAAUUUUAUUUUUAAGUUAAAAAGCUUAAAUUUUUUUAAAAGACGAGAAGACCCUAUAGAGUUUUAUACAUGUUUAAUUAAUAAUUUAAAUUGAAUAUUAAAAAUUUUGAUUUUUAUUGUAUUUGAUUGGGGUGAUUAAAAAAUUUAAUAAACUUUUUUUUUAUAAUUACAUUUAUUUAUGAAUUAUUGAUCCAUUAUUUAUGAUUAUAAGAUUAAAUUACCUUAGGGAUAACAGCGUAAUUUCUUUUUAGAGUUCUAAUCGAUAAAGAAGUUUGCGACCUCGAUGUUGGAUUAAAAUUAAUUUUUGGUGUAGAAGCUAAAAUAUUAGGUCUGUUCGACCUUUAAAAUUUUACAUGAUCUGAGUUUAAACCGGUGUAAGCCAGGUUGGUUUCUAUCUUUAAACAUUAAAUGGUAUUUUAGUACGAAAGGACCAAAUACCUGUAAUAUUUAU
rnacentral:rRNA from 1 species